UGCAUCUGCUGGAGGAAUAAAUCUCUCUGAAUAUCUCCGAAAAUUUGCAAACGUAAAAUGACGGGGAGAACAUCACCGCAGGGGAGAAAAUCACCGCUUGGAGAACAUCCCCAUCCGAACAACCACGAUUUCACAUCCUAAUCCAUCCUAAUCCAAACAAUUUCGACAAAAAACGAGCCAUGGGAGUUGGCCAAUGCCACAAGUCGUGGUUUGUAAUCAUGGAAUUGAAGCUCAAGUUGUAACAUCGAAGACGGAUGCUAAUCCUGGACAACGUUUCUAUCGAUGCUAUAUUUGGAAAGAGGACGACUGCAAGUUCUACCAUUGGAUUGAUCCAUCUUUUUCACCGAAUCAAGAGAACUAUAUGCAAAAAUUGAAGAUGGAGAAGGACAACAUGCAAAAAGCAUUGCAAACGAGAGUUGUUAUGCAAGAUAUGCUAACGGAGAAAGUCCGUUCCAAACAAGUUGAAGUAUUUGCGUCGACAGAACUGGAACUUGAAGUAUGCCAUUUCGUGUUUGUGUGUUGUGGUCUGGCUUUUUAUCUAGACUAUAAUAGUCCAGAUUAUGUAAUAGUCUAAUGUAUUUCAACUAUGUCUAGGAUUAUACAUUGAAGUUCUAAUGUAUCCUCAAAUUUAUCUUCGUUGUAGACUUUAUGAAAUUUUCAAUGCAGAUGCAGUUUUUGAA